rnacentral:misc_RNA from 1 species
AAGGAAUCUUAUGCUGCAUAACGAAAGUUACUUGUACAUAAAACAAUUCAAAAUUUGUGAAAAGAAAUUUCCCCGAACGAUUUGCUGAUGUCAUCUUUUCUUGAACUUCUUGGACUUCUUAUCCUUUAUGCCUAAAUAUUUUUCAAUCUCUUCCUCACCAUCUCCUCCACCCCUCCUCUUCUUGCCACCGGAUUCUUUAAUUUUCAUCUGGGAAAUUCUUUUCGCUUCAGUGACACGCUCCAGCAGAAGCAAGACUUCCUCUUCUUCAGCGGGAAAUUCAGGUAACUUCUUACCAAUAAGCUUCUCUAUCAGUAGAUACCACUCCAGUUCAUAUUGAUUCACAAGCGAGAUUGCAACCCCAGAACGUCCUGCACGAGCAGUUCUUCCAACACGAUGAAUGUAAUCCUUCGAGUUUGUAGGGAUAUCAUAAUUAAUAACCAUAUCCACAGACGGAAUAUCAAGUCCUCUACUUGCCACAUCAGUGCAUAUAAGAAUAUUGCACUCUCCAGCUUUGAACUUAUUUAAGGCUCCCAGUCUCUUUGACUGAGUCAUAUGACCAUUAAUUGGGAUGGCCCUUAAACCAAGAUUUCGGAGGACCAGGGCCAAAAAAGUAGUUGC